UUGUCCAGGCAAAUCCGGAUAAUCAAGGCUGAGGUGUGAUGACGAGGCACUACGGUGCUGAAGUAACAAAUGCCCUGCUUCCAGGAAAAGCCUCUAAGCAUCAGGUAACAUCAAAUCGUACCCCAAACCGACACAGGUGGUCAGGUAGAGAAUACCAAGGCGCUUGAGAGAACUCGGGUGAAGGAACUAGGCAAAAUGGUGCCGUAACUUCGGGAGAAGGCACGCUGGUGUGUAGGUGAAG
rnacentral:rRNA from 1 species